rnacentral:tRNA from 1 species
GGGAGGGUAGUCUAGCUUGGUAUGAUUCUUGGUUUGGGACCAAGGGGCCGAGGGUUCAAAUCCCUCCCCUCCCA